GACCUGGUGGUGGAGUGGUUACCACACCUGUUCGAAUUAUCGGGGUAACUUGUCUCCUAAGCAGGAGUCCCCCGUUCGAUUCGGGGUCAGAUUU